UAGGGAAUCUUCCGCAAUGGGCGAAAGCUUGACGGAGCAACGCCGCGUGAGUGAUGAAGGUCUUCGGAUCGUAAAACUCUGUUAUUAGGGAAGAACAAAUGUGUAAGUAACUAUGCACGUCUUGACGGUACCUAAUCAGAAAGCCACGGCUAACUACGUGCCAGCAGCCGCGGUAAUACGUAGGUGGCAAGCGUUAUCCGGAAUUAUUGGGCGUAAAGCGCGCGUAGGCGGUUUUUUAAGUCUGAUGUGAAAGCCCACGGCUCAACCGUGGAGGGUCAUUGGAAACUGGAAAACUUGAGUGCAGAAGAGGAAAGUGGAAUUCCAGGUGUAGCGGUGAAAUGCGCAGAGAUAUGGAGGAACACCAGUGGCGAAGGCGACUUUCUGGUCUGUAACUGACGCUGAUGUGCGAAAGCGGGGGGAUCAAACAGG
rnacentral:rRNA from 1 species